rnacentral:rRNA from 1 species
UACGGGGGGGGGCAAGCGUUGUUCGGAAUUACUGGGCGUAAAGGGCGCGUAGGCGGCCCUCUAAGUCGGACGUGAAAUCCCUCGGCUCAACCGAGGAACUGCGUCCGAUACUGGAGGGCUUGAAUCCGGGAGGAGGGAUGUGGAAGUUCCAGGUGUAGCGGUGAAAUGCGUAGAUAUCUGGGAGGAACACCGGUGGCGAAGGCGGCUUUCUGGACAGAUACCGACGCUGAGGCACGAAAGCUAGGGGAGCAAACAGG